rnacentral:rRNA from 1 species
GAUGAACGCUGGCGGCGUGCCUAAUACAUGCAAGUCGAGCGAACGGACGAGAAGCUUGCUUUUCUGAUGUUAGCGGCGGACGGGUGAGUAACACGUGGAUAACCUACCUAUAAGACUGGGAUAACUUCGGGAAACCGGAGCUAAUACCGGAUAAUAUUUUGAACCGCAUGGUUCAAAAGUGAAAGACGGUCUUGCUGUCCCUUAUAGAUGGAUCCGCGCUGCAUUAGCUAGUUGGUAAGGUAACGGCUUACCAAGGCAGCGAUGCAUAGCCGACCUGAGAGGGGGAUCGGCCACACUGGAACUGAGACACGGUCCAGACUCCUACGGGAGGCAGCAGUAGGGAAUCUUCCGCAAUGGGCGAAAGCCUGACGGAGCAACGCCGCGUGAGUGAUGAAGGUCUUCGGGUCGUAAAACUCUGUUAUUAGGGAAGAACAUAUGUGUAAGUAACUGUGCACAUCUUGACGGUACCUAAUCAGAAAGCCACGGCUAACUACGUG